rnacentral:lncRNA from 1 species
UGUAUCUGAAAUUCCUAGGUUAUCCCCUGCGCCGUUGUCUGAAAAAUUCCGACAGAAAAAUAAUGUAUGUGUCAAUGUCGGUUUACAGACUUUCGCCUGAAGAUCUCCACCACCGCCAAAGGCCGCCGCCUGAACCUCCGCCGCCCAGGUCUGCUCUUCACCUCCGAUCAUAUAUAUAUAUAUAUAUAUAUAUAUGGUUUCUGUUUUCGGUCUUCUUUUUUCUUGAUUGAAUUUAUUUCUGUUCUUGAUAGUUGAUAUAUAUGAAUUUAAGAUGUUUUUUUUUGUUCUUCAUGUUUGAUUUGUGGUGAUGAAUUAACAUCUUAAAGAUAAUGAAAGUCUUAAUUAAUUACGAUGAUGUUUUUCAAAUUUUGUGGUGAUGAAUUAAGAUCUUAAUAACUGAUCUGUUUUUUUUUAUUUCCUUUUUUUCUUAUAAUAUUUUUCACCCGAUUUGGGCCCAUUGAUACAGAUUUGAAAUUCUUAAACCGAUUAAUGAUAUAUAUCAUAUAUGGAUUUAAUUAAGAUGUAUUAGAUCUGUAUAACAAUAUUUAUUGUUGGAUCUGGUAUUAAGAUGUUUUCCGUCUUCAUUUCUUGAUUAGUUUGUUGCAUGCAAAAGUUCAUUGGGUUGAAUUUAUUUAUUCCAUAUAAUUUAUAUAUAUGAAUUUAAUUUAGAUGUUCGAUUUGCGGAUUUAUGGAGGAAGUUUAAUUUACGACCUCUCUUUUCUUUUCUUUUUUUGGUUUUUGGCAAAUAGAUGGAGGAGAAACAUAUCGAACAAUAUUCUUGUCAGCGACAUAACGGUAAUAAUUUAAGAUACCUUACUGCAACAGAUGCCCCCAUAGAAGCUACCAGGCAACAAGUUUCUUCCCGGUCAACUCAUUGGCCACCCCAUAAUCGACACUCAUCUCCCUCAUUGGUAUGUGACAAAAUGGUAAAAAUAAAGACGGAAUUCUUGAGCCUCCAGCUAUGAAAAUAUAUAUAUGAGAUUGGUUAAUGGUUCUUAAUGGGGAUCUACAUACUUUCGUAUGAAUAUGAUUUAGUUUUGGUUCGUUGCUACCUUUUGUUUUCCUAUCAUCAAAGACUGAAUUUGAG